rnacentral:rRNA from 1 species
UACAGAGGUCUCAAGCGUUGUUCGGAUUCAUUGGGCGUAAAGGGUGCGUAGGCGGCGCGGUAAGUCGGGUGUGAAAUCUUGGAGCUUAACUCCGAAACUGCAUUCGAUACUGCCGUGCUUGAGGACUGGAGAGGAGACUGGAAUUUACGGUGUAGCGGUGAAAUGCGUAGAUAUCGUAAGGAAGACCAGUGGCGAAGGCGGGUCUCUGGACAGUUCCUGACGCUGAAGUACGAAGGCCAGGGGAGCAAACGGG